GAAAAAUAAAGGAAGAAAGAAUGUGGACAUUCACAUUCAUGUAUGCUCAUCCCGAGGGAGGACAUGUGGGUCUCUGCUUGUGAAGACUGGGGCUUUCGUAAGUCCAGCUCAGAGGUGUCCCCGCUUCCCUGUGGAUCCCGAAACCCUGUCGGCGCCUCCGGGAACCAACUUGGACCACACCUUGAUUUUUUUGCUGCAACCAGCCCAAGAACGUGUGAUCUGCAGUCACCAGCCCCGGAAACCAGCCCUUCUAGGAAGACAAACCACUAUCCCUAGUGAACAGCCCGGCCAGCCAAACAAUAACUGAAAACAACUGAUUUUUGACAAAGACACCAAAACAAUUCCAUGGGGAAAGGAAAAUCAUUGCACAAAUGGUGCUGGAAGACCUGAAUAUUCAUACAGACAAAAACGAAACUUGGCCCCACCUCGUACCAUCUACAAACAGUGAUUUCAAGAUGGAUCAUAUAACCCGAGCAUAAAAGUUAAAACCAUAAAGCUCUUGGGAGAAGAUAAAGGAGACUAUCUUAGUGACCUGGACGUUGGUAGAAUUUCUUAGGACGGAGAAGGCAGUGACCAAGGAAGGAAAAAAAAAAAUCAAUAAAUUCGUUUCAUCAUCAUUUAAAACUCCUGCU
rnacentral:lncRNA from 1 species